rnacentral:rRNA from 1 species
UACGUAGGGCGCGAGCGUUGUCCGGAUUUAUUGGGCGUAAAGAGCUCGUAGGCGGCUCGUUGCGUCAACCGUGAAAACCCGGGGCUUAACUUCGGGCUUGCGGUUGAUACGGGCGGGCUGGAGUUCGGUAGGGGAGACUGGAAUUCCUGGUGUAGCGGUGAAAUGCGCAGAUAUCAGGAGGAACACCAAUAGCGAAGGCAGCUCGCUGGGACGUUACUGACACUGAGGCGCGAAAGCGUGGGGAGCGAACAGG